AGAGAAAAAAAAAGAUUUUUAUUUAUGCAUAUGGGUGUGUCUCUGUGUGGGCAUGUGCCAUGGGUCUGAGGGUGCCCUCAGGAGCCAGAAGAGGCAUUAGAUCCCCUAGAGUUUCAUGUGGUUGUAAGCCUCUUGAUGUGGGUGCUGUGUACCAAACUCACAUCCUCUGAAAAAGCAGUGUGCUGCUAACUCCUGAACCACAUAUCCAGCCCCACUCCCCAUUUAAAAAUAUAGGGUCUUGUGUAGUCCCGGGCUGGCCUUAAAAUCACCACCUAGCCAAAGAUGACCUUGAACUUUUGAUCUUUGCCUCCACCCCACAGAUGCUGGGAUGACGGGUGUGAGCCAGUUUAUGUGCUGCAGAGAACAGACGCCAACGCCUGUGCAUGUCGGGAAGUGCUUGUUGUACGAAGGACCUGAAUCCCUCCAGCAUCUGUGUGAAGAGCCAGGCUCGGUGGGCCACACCUGUAAUCCCAAAACUGGAGCAAAGGCAGAAACAGCUGGGUCUCUGGAGCUCCUGGACAGCAUGGCAGCUGGGUCAGAAGCUCCAGGUUGAGCGGAAGACCUUGUCUCCGAGGAAAGAGAAGGACGGAAGAUACCCAGUGCUGACCUCUGGCCUCUACACCCUCACA